UUUAAAGAAAAAAAAUUUAUUGAAUCUUAUAUUUAGUACAAAAAUAUAUUUUUUUAUUGCUAUAAAUACAUUGCUCAAAUAAUACUAUUGAAACGGGAAGGCCCAGCGGGUGCUAACUUAGCCACCUCAGCUUGCCACCUGCGAUACUCCUUUGUUAUUAGACAAAGAAGCUCAGGUAAUGAGUAAAUAUACAAAUUUUCG
rnacentral:misc_RNA from 1 species